rnacentral:tRNA from 1 species
GCCUGGGUGGCUCAGUUGGUUGGGCGUCUGACUUCGGCUCAGGUCAUGAUCUUGCGGUCCGUGAGUUCAAGCCCCACGUCGGGCU